GUAGUUACAAAAGAAACCAAUGUUGUUAUAAACAUGUGUGUGUAUGUAUGUAUGUAUGUAUGUAUGUUUGCAUCCUACAUUGUUAAGCAUUUGUUUCCAAGACAUUUCCACUUCUUAGCUCAACUCUUCCCCCAUGUUUAUGUCAUUAGAUAACUUCUUCCUUGUUUUCUGGAAGUGGCAGCACCACAUGGUUACUUACAAGAAUCAAACCACUCUUUUUUUUCCUAGCUACCAUAUAAAAUUUGAUACACUCUAGUCCUACCUAACAUGUAUUCUAGUCUAGGUGGAGAAAGACUUUUGUGCAACACGAUAAUGUUGUAGCGGUAUCCCAAGUCUAAAAGGUAUUGCCUUGUGGGAAAGUUAAAACGCAUUACUGUACAUGAUUGACUUGAAAUGCCGUCACAGUGGCAUCCUCGGUGCAGCCCUGAAGGCAAAGGAUGGAAAAGCAGCAGGAAAUGAGGAAGAUACUUAGCGCUUAAGGAUUAGUGUUUUGAUGAAUUCAAACUAAACUCGAUGAGAAUGCAAAGAACAUUUUCUAGCACAGUAGUUUGAUUGAAAUGAAAAAGUAGGUAGGUCUCAUUGAUUUUGGGUACAUGAUAAUACGAAUGUAUUGAAUAAUCAAGUGUGGGUUGUUUAUCUCAUAUCGAUUUAUCAUCAUCCGAAUUCUUUUUCA